rnacentral:rRNA from 1 species
UACGUAGGGGGCGAGCGUUGUCCGAAUUUACUGGGCGUAAAGGGCGCGUAGGUGGUGACCUAAGCGUGCGGUGAAAGCCCGAGGCUCAACCUCGGGUCGGCCGUGCGAACUGGGUCACUGGAGCAGAAUAGAGGCAGGUGGAAUUCCGGGUGUAGCGGUGGAAUGCGUAGAGAUCCGGAAGAACACCGGUGGCGAAGGCGGCCUGCUGGGUUCUGGCUGACACUGAGGCGCGACAGCGUGGGGAGCAAACAGG